rnacentral:pre_miRNA from 1 species
AAUAAGAUCAUUUUUCGUUUUUUUUCUAAUGUUUGACCAUUCGUCUUAUUUAAAAAAAUUUUACGAUUAAUAUUUUUAUUCUUACUAGAUGAUAAAACAUGAAUAAUACUUUAUACGUGAUUUUUUUUAAGUUUUUAUACAAAUUUUUCAAAUAAGACGAAUGGUCAAACGUUGGACACGGAAAAACAAAAAAUGAUCUUAUU